rnacentral:tRNA from 1 species
GCUGCCGUAGCUCAGAGGCCAGAGCAGGCCGCUUCUAACGGCCAGGACGCUGGUUGAACCCCAGCCGGCGGUGCCA